CUUUUGUCCAGUUCAGGGCUGAGUGAGAGUGACAAUAUGUGUUGGUUAGGAAUAUUAGGAGUGACAAUAUGUGUUGGUUAGGAAUAUUAGGAGUGUUAAUAGUGUUGAAUAAGUCAACACACGCUGAGAAAUACAGGAUCAGUGGAGACUCAACGGAAUGGCUUCAAACAAAAUGUAACAUGGCUGCGCCACAACUUUCUUACAAGAACGUCUACUUUGAAGUGAACGAAAUCAGUGGCAAUCUACCGACCUCAGACGUUUGGAUAGGUUGUGCGGUCGUUCGGAAUGCACCAACAUACACAGUAACAAGUAUCGGUUAUUGCAAAAGUGUGUGUGUCAAUUCAACACUAUUCGGAAUACAGACAAGUCAUGGCCAAGAUAUAUUUAUAAUUAUAAUUGUAUACCUUAAAUAUAUUAUUGUUGGGUCCGAUUGGGCAAUUUAAUGUCCAAUUAACGUUACGUAUGCAAAAUCUGCUAUGAUACACACUAUAUAGGGUAACAGUCAGAUUUCAAUUAU